UACGGAGGGUGCAAGCGUUCUCCGGAUUCACUGGGUUUAAAGGGUGCGUAGGAGGGCAGGUAAGUCAGUGGUGAAAUCUCCAAGCUUAACUUGGAAACUGCCGUUGAUACUAUCUGUCUUGAAUACCGUGGAGGUGAGCGGAAUAUGUCAUGUAGCGGUGAAAUGCUUAGAUAUGACAUAGAACACCAAUUGCGAAGGCAGCUCACUACACGAAUAUUGACUCUGAGGCACGAAAGCGUGGGGAUCAAACAGG
rnacentral:rRNA from 1 species